AGAUUGAACGCUGGCGGCAUGCCUUACACAUGCAAGUCGAACGGCAGCACGGGAGCAAUCCUGGUGGCGAGUGGCGAACGGGUGAGUAAUAUAUCGGAACGUGCCCAGUCGUGGGGGAUAACGUAGAGAAAUUUACGCUAAUACCGCAUACGAUCUAAGGAUGAAAGCGGGGGACUUCGCAAGAGGCCUCGCGCGAUUGGAGCGGCUGAUAUCAGAUUAGGUUGUUGGUGAGGUAAAAGCUCACCAAGCCGACGAUCUGUAGCUGGUUUGAGAGAACGACCAGCCACACUGGACUGAGACACGGCCCAGACUCCUACGGGAGGCAGCAGUGGGGAAUUUUGGACAAUGGGACGAAAGCCUGAUCCAGCAAGUCGCCGCGUGCCGAAGGAAAGAAGGCCUUCGGGUUAGUAAACGUGUCUUUGGUUAACGGAACGAAAAGGU
rnacentral:rRNA from 1 species